rnacentral:rRNA from 1 species
AGAGUUUGAUCAUGGCUCAGGACGAACGCUGGCGGCACGCUUAACACAUGCAAGUCGAACGGUGAAGAGAAGCUUGCUUCUCGGAUCAGUGGCGGACGGGUGAGUAACACGUGAGCAACCUGCCUUUAAGAGGGGGAUAACGUUUGGAAACGAACGCUAAUACCGCAUAACAUAGAAGAUUCGCAUGUUUCUUCUAUCAAAGAUUUAUCGCUUAAAGAUGGGCUCGCGUCUGAUUAGCUGGUUGGUG